rnacentral:rRNA from 1 species
AUACGGAGGGUGCAAGCGUUAUUCGGAAUCACUGGGCGUAAAGGACGCGUAGGCGGGUUGGCAAGUCAGAUGUGAAAUCCUACAGCUUAACUGUAGAACUGCAUUUGAAACUGCUAACCUAGAGUAUGGGAGGGGGAGAUGGAAUUAGUGGUGUAGGGGUAAAAUCCGUAGAUAUCACUAGGAAUAACGAAAGCGAAGGCGAUCUCCUGGAACAUAACUGACGCUAAGGCGUGAAAGCGUGGGGAGCAAACAGGAUUAGAAACCCCAGUAGUCC